GACGAACGCUGGCGGCAUGCCUAAUACAUGCAAGUCGAGCGAACAGAUGAAGUGCUUGCACUUCUGACGUUAGCGGCGAACGGGUGAGUAACACGUAAGGAACCUACCUAUAAGCGGGGGAUAACAUUCGGAAACGGGUGCUAAUACCGCAUAAUAUCUUCUUCCGCAUGGAAGAAGAUUGAAAGACGGCUCUGCUGUCACUUACAGAUGACCUUGCGGUGCAUUAGUUAGUUGGUGGGGUAACGGCCUACCAAGACGAUGAUGCAUAGCCGACCUGAGAGGGUGAGCGGCCACAUUGGGACUGAGACACGGCCCAAACUCCUACGGGAGGCAGCAGUAGGGAAUCUUCCGCAAUGGGCGAAAGCCUGACGGAGCAAUGCCGCGUGAGUGAAGAAGGCCUUCGGGUCGUAAAACUCUGUUAUAAGAGAAGAACAAAUUGUAGAGUAACUGCUACAGUCUUGACGGUAUCUUAUCAGAAAGCCACGGCUAACUACGUGCCAGCCGCCGCGGUAA
rnacentral:rRNA from 1 species